GAAGCUCCUUAUUGCUGUGUGGCUGAGGCUCCGGCCGUAUAAAGGCGGCCACGCGUUAAGGCUCCGGGCCGGAGAGUACGUGUCUCAGGGGGAGGAGAAGGUGGCGGCGGCGGCGGUGCCGGUGCGGAGCAGCCGAGCACCGCGGGGAGGGCUGUCAGCUCCAGCGCGUAGGGGAUUUUAAUCCGAAUUCCGGCCGGCCCGGAUUUUUAUUGGGAGCGGGUUUUAAAGCGCCCUGUCGUCCCUCUCGCCUCUGCGGACGGGGCAGCAUGUCCGAAGCGGAGCAGCAGUUGGCGGCCGCCACCGGCGCCACCCAGAACGGGCACGAAGCGGCCGAAAGCGCCGGAGAGCAGCAGGCCGAAACCGGCGGGGCUCCGGCGGCGGCAGCAGCGGCGGCGGCAGCGGGCGUAGCGGCGACGGCGGGAACGGCGGCGGGGGCAGCGGCGGCAGCGGGAGCCGGACCGGCGGCGGGAACAGCGGGGACGGCCGCUAGCCAGAACGGAGCCGAAGGCGACCAGAUCAACGCCAGCAAGAACGAGGAGGACGCGGGGAAGAUGUUUGUUGGUGGCCUCAGUUGGGAUACAAGCAAAAAAGACUUGAAAGAUUACUUCACCAAAUUUGGUGAGGUAACCGACUGUACGAUAAAGAUGGACCCUAACACAGGAAGAUCCAGAGGCUUUGGAUUUAUUCUCUUCAAAGAACCUGGGAGUGUUGAAAAGGUUCUGGAACAGAAAGAACACAGGCUAGAUGGACGACUAAUUGACCCCAAGAAGGCCAUGGCAAUGAAAAAGGAUCCAGUGAAGAAAAUAUUUGUUGGUGGACUAAACCCAGAAGCCACAGAAGAGAAAAUCAGGGAAUACUUUGGAGAGUUUGGAGAGAUUGAAGCAAUUGAACUUCCCAUGGAUCCAAAGACCAACAAAAGGAGGGGGUUUGUGUUCAUCACCUUCAAGGAAGAGGAUCCGGUGAAGAAGGUUUUGGAGAAGAAAUUCCAUAACGUCAGUGGAAGCAAGUGCGAGAUUAAGGUAGCACAGCCAAAAGAAGUAUACCAGCAGCAACAGUUCAGUAGUGGUGGAGGAAGAGGUAGCUAUGGAGGAAGAGGCAGAGGUGGAAGAGGCGGCGCUCAAAGUCAAAAUUGGAAUCAAGGUUAUGGCAAUUACUGGAACCAGGGUUAUGGGAAUCAAGGAUACGGCUAUCAGCAAGGUUAUGGUGGCUAUGGAGGCUAUGAUUAUUCAGGAUAUGGGUAUUAUGGAUAUGGACCAGGCUAUGAUUACAGUCAAGGCAGUGCAAAUUAUGGGAAGACACCAAGACGUGGUGGUCAUCAGAAUAACUACAAGCCAUAUUGAUCAAACUUAUUCAGGUCUCAGCUGAGCUUUGGCAACAGGAGGAGUUAGUAGAGUAGACGUACCACCAGCAGAUCCUCGGACAUCUACUGGCCUGGCAGUGGUCACAGUUGAUGCCUACAAGCACUGGAUAUUCCACAAGUUGAAGACGGAAUACUGACUUGUUUACCUGAAGAUAAUAGGACUUCGGGGUAUUUCCUCAGAGAAAAUAUAAAUUUUAAUAUAAUUUCAUAAGCUUUGGAGGUUAGCUUGUCUUGUAGCUUCAGUGAUAUCAAACUUCUUCAAGUAGGAGCUAGAUAGAAAGCUGUUUAGUUUUUGCCAGCGUAUGUAAAACAAGACUUUUCUAUCUGCAUUGUAGAUUGUUUGUGGACACUUCCAGAUUCUUGUGCUUUCUGCAGUCAUUCUGGGGACUGAACUCUCAUUGAUAUCGAUAGAGGUUCCAUGAACAGGACACGUGCAGGAAUUUGAGUGUAGAAGCCCACAGCGUGGUUUGGAGUAGUGAAUUGCUUUUAGUUUGGAGAUGACUGGGGGAGAUGGGAAGAGCAACUGUACAUUAAGGGAACAAAUACAGAUCUUCUUCCCGGUGACAUCAAUGAGAGAUUUGCCUUCAACCUUCCACAGAAGAAGAUUUUUAGCUUUAAUUUGGGACAGUAAAGGGGUUUUUCAAAAGCACUAGAAGCCAGUGGGAGCUUGUUCAACUGCUCCUUAUGCCUUUAAAAACCCCUACACCAAAAGUGAUAGCUAACAACAUGAAAUGGAAGUAAAUAAAAUGCAUUUUCAUUGC